AGAACUUAGCAGAGAUGCUUUGGUGCCUUCGGGAACUCUGAGACAGGUGCUGCAUGGCUGUCGUCAGCUCGUGUUGUGAAAUGUUGGGUUAAGUCCCGCAACGAGCGCAACCCUUAUCCUUUGUUGCCAGCGGGUUAUGCCGGGAACUCAAAGGAGACUGCCAGUGAUAAACUGGAGGAAGGUGGGGAUGACGUCAAGUCAUCAUGGCCCUUACGAGUAGGGCUACACACGUGCUACAAUGGCGCAUACAAAGAGAAGCGACCUCGCGAGAGCAAGCGGACCUCAUAAAGUGCGUCGUAGUCCGGAUUGGAGUCUGCAACUCGACUCCAUGAAGUCGGAAUCGCUAGUAAUCGUAGAUCAGAAUGCUACGGUGAAUACGUUCCCGGGCCUUGUACACACCGCCCGUCACACCAUGGGAGUGGGUUGCAAAAGAAGUAGGUAGCUUAACCUUCGGGAGGGCGCUUACCACUUUGUGAUUCAUGACUGGGGUGAAGUCGUAACAAGGUAAGCGUAGUGCU
rnacentral:rRNA from 1 species